rnacentral:rRNA from 1 species
GAUGAACGCUGGCGGCGUGCCUAAUACAUGCCAGUCGAGCGAACGGACGAGAAGCUUGCUUCUCUGAUGUUAGCGGCGGACGGGUGAGUAACACGUGGAUAACCUACCUAUAAGACUGGGAUAACUUCGGGAAACCGGAGCUAAUACCGGAUAAUAUUUUGAACCGCAUGGUUCAAAAGUGAAAGACGGUCUUGCUGUCACUUAUAGAUGGAUCCGCGCUGCAUUAGCUAGUUGGUAAGGUAACGGCUUACCAAGGCAACGAUGCAUAGCCGACCUGAGAGGGUGAUCGGCCACACUGGAACUGAGACACGGUCCAGACUCCUACGGGAGGCAGCAGUAGGGAAUCUUCCGCUAUGGGCGAAAGCCUGACGGAGCAACGCCGCGUGAGUGAUGAAGGUCUUCGGAUCGUAAAACUCUGUUAUUAGGGAAGAACAUAUGUGUAAGUAACUGUGCACAUCUUGACGGUACCUAAUCAGAAAGCCACGGCUAACUACGUG